rnacentral:rRNA from 1 species
UGGGGGAAUAUUGGACAAUGGGCGAAAGCCUGAUCCAGCCUGCCGCGUGUGUGAAGAAGGUCUUCGGAUUGUAAAGCACUUUAAGUUGGGAGGAAGGGCAGUAAGCUAAUACCUUGCUGUUUUGACGUUACCGACAGAAUAAGCACCGGCUAACUCUGUG